GAGUUUGAUCUUGGCUCAGAUUGAACGCUGGCGGCAUGCCUUACACAUGUAAGUCGAACGGCAGCACGGGAGCUUGCUCCUGGUGGCGAGUGGCGAACGGGUGAGUAAUGCAUCGGAACGUAUCCUGGAGUGGGGGAUAACGUAGCGAAAGUUACGCUAAUACCGCAUAUUCUGUGAGCAGGAAAGCGGGGGACCUUCGGGCCUCGCGCUCUUGGAGCGGCCGAUGUCGGAUUAGCUAGUUGGUGAGGUAAAGGCUCACCAAGGCGACGAUCCGUAGCAGGUCUGAGAGGAUGAUCUGCCACACUGGAACUGAGACACGGUCCAGACUCCUACGGGAGGCAGCAGUGGGGAAUUUUGGACAAUGGGGGCAACCCUGAUCCAGCCAUGCCGCGUGAGUGAAGAAGGCC
rnacentral:rRNA from 1 species